GAUGAAUAACGUAGCGAAAUGCGAUAAGUAAUGUGAAUUGCAGAAUUCAGUGAAUCAUCGAAUCUUUGAACGCACAUUGCGCCCGCCAGUAUUCUGGCGGGCAUGCCUGUUCGAGCGUCAUUUCAACCAUCAAGCCCCAGGCUUGUGUUGGAGCCCUGCGGCUGCCGCAGCCUCCCAAAACCAGUGGCGGGCUCGCUAUCACACCGAGUGCAGUAGUUUACUCUUCGCUCAGGGCGUGUGGCGGGUGCUAGCCGUGAAACCCCCAACUUCUCAAGGUUGACCUCGGAUCAGGUAGGAAUACCCGCUGAACUUAAGCAUAUCAAUAAGCGGAGGA
rnacentral:misc_RNA from 1 species